UACGUAGGGUGCGAGCGUUAAUCGGAAUUACUGGGCGUAAAGCGUGCGCAGGCGGUUGUGCAAGACAGAUGUGAAAUCCCCGGGCUUAACCUGGGAAUUGCAUUUGUGACUGCACGGCUAGAGUGUGUCAGAGGGGGGUAGAAUUCACGUGUAGCAGUGAAAUGCGUAGAUAUGUGGAGGAAUACCGAUGGCGAAGGCAGCCCCCUGGAUAACACUGACGC
rnacentral:rRNA from 1 species